rnacentral:rRNA from 1 species
UACGUAGGGUGCGAGCGUUGUCCGGAAUUAUUGGGCGUAAAGAGCUCGUAGGCGGUCUGUCGCGUCGGUCGUGAAAACUUGGGGCUUAACCCUGAGCUUGCGGUCGAUACGGGCAUGACUGGAGUUCGGUAGGGGAGACUGGAAUUCCUGGUGUAGCGGUGAAAUGCGCAGAUAUCAGGAGGAACACCUAUUGCGAAGGCAGCUCGCUGGGACGUAACUGACGCUGAGACGCGAAAGCGUGGGGAGCAAACAGG